rnacentral:tRNA from 1 species
GGCCCCUUAGCUCAGCGGUAGAGCGAUCGACUCAUAAUCGAGAGUGCGCUGGUUCGAAUCCAGCAGGGGCCA